GAUGAAGAACGUAGCGAAAUGCGAUACUUGGUGUGAAUUGCAGAAUCCCGUGAACUAUCGAGUCUUUGAACGCAAGUUGCGCCCGAAGCCAUCAGGUUGAGGGCACGUCUGCCUGGGCGUCACAUAUCGUUGCCCAAUGCCUAUUGCAGUGCAAUAGGAAUUUCUAGGGCGAAUGAUGGCUUCCCGUGAGCGUUGUUGCCUCGCGGUUGGUUGAAAAUCGAGUCCUUGGUAGGGUGUGCCAUGGUAGAUGGUGGUCGAGUUAGAACGAUACCGAUCAUGUGCAUGCUCCCCGAAAUAUGGCCUCUAUGACCCACACGCGUCUUUUGACGCUCAUGACGAGACCUCAGGUCAGGCGGGGCUACCCGCUGAAUUUAAGCAUAUCAAUAAGCGGAGGA
rnacentral:misc_RNA from 1 species